UACAGAGACUGCAAGCGUUAUUCGGAUUCACUGGGCGUAAAGGGUGCGCAGGCGGCCGAGUGUGUGAGGCGUGAAAGCCCGGGGCUUAACCCCGGAAUUGCACCUCAAACUACACGGCUAGAGCAUUGGAGAGGGUAGCAGAAUUCACGGUGUAGCAGUGAAAUGCGUAGAUAUCGUGAGGAAUACCAGAGGCGAAGGCGGCUGCCUGGACAAUUGCUGACGCUCAGGCACGAAAGCGUGGGGAGCAAAAGGG
rnacentral:rRNA from 1 species